AGUGAACGCUGGCGGUAGGCCUAACACAUGCCAGUCGAACGGCAGCACAGUAAGAGCUUGCUCUUACGGGUGGCGAGUGGCGGACGGGUGAGGAAUACAUCGGAAUCUACUUUUUCGUGGGGGAUAACGUAGGGAAACUUACGCUAAUACCGCAUACGACCUACGGGUGAAAGCAGGGGAUCUUCGGACCUUGCGCGAUUGAAUGAGCCGAUGUCGGAUUAGCUAGUUGGCGGGGUAAAGGCCCACCAAGGCAACGAUCCGUAGCUGGUCUGAGAGGAUGAUCAGCCACACUGGAACUGAGACACGGUGCAGACUCCUACGGGAGGCAGCAGUGGGGAAUAUUGGACAAUGGGCGCAAGCCUGAUCCAGCAAUACCGCGUGGGUGAAGAAGGCCUUCGGGUUGUAAAGCCCUUUUGUUGGGAAAGAAAAGCAGCAGGUUAAUACCCCGCUGUUCUGACGGUACCCAAAGAAUAAGCACCGGCUAACUUCGUG
rnacentral:rRNA from 1 species